rnacentral:rRNA from 1 species
GGAAUCACUGGGCGUAAAGGGAGCGUAGGCGGCGUGGUAAGUCAGAUGUGAAAUCCCGGGGCUCAACCCCGGAACUGCAUCCGAUACUGCCGUGCUAGAGGAUUGGAGAGGUAGCUGGAAUUCACGGUGUAGCAGUGAAAUGCGUAGAUAUCGUGAGGAACACUCGUGGCGAAAGCGAGCUACUGGACAACUCCUGACGCUGAGGCUCGAAGGCCAGGGUAGCGAAAGGGAUUAGAUACCCCUGUAGUCCUGGCAGUAAACGGUGCACGCUUGGUGUGAGGGGAAUCGACCCCCCUUGUGCCGGAGCUAACGCGUUAAGCGUGCCGCCUGGGAAGUACGGUCGCAAGACUAAAACUCAAAGAAAUUGACGGGGACCCGCACAAGCGGUGGAGUAUGUGGCUUAAUUCGAUGCAACGCGAAGAACCUUACCAAGGCUUGACAUGCAUCUCUAAGCGCGUGAAAGCGCGUGACCCUUCGGGGGAUUUGCACAGGUGCUGCAUGGCCGUCGUCAGCUCGUGUCGUGAGAUGUUGGGUUAAGUCCCGCAACGAGCGCAACCCUUGUGAUUAGUUGCCAGCACGUCAUGGUGGGAACUCUAGUCAGACUGCCCAGAUCAACUGGGAGGAAGGUGGGGACGACGUCAGGUCAGUAUGGCCCUUACGCCUUGGGCUGCACACGUACUACAAUGCCCAGUACAAUGAGAACCGAGACCGCGAGGUGGAGGAAAUCUGCAAAACUGGGCCCAGUUCGGAUUGGAGGCUGCAACUCGCCUCCAUGAAGUUGGAAUCGCUAGUAAUGGCGCAUCAUCUACGGCGCCGUGAAUACGUUCCCGGGUCUUGUACACACCGCCCGUCACAUCAUGGAAGCCGGUCGCACCCGAAGUGCCCGUGCCAACCGCAAGAGAGGCAGG